CCGGAUUUCAUGACAACUCUGUAAUUUGAAAACUUCGAGGUUUUUUUUGCGUAGAUCUAGCUACCUAUUGGUUAAUUCUAUGAACGCAUUUCAAGCAAAUCUACGUCAUUUACACGAUAAAAUACAUUGCAGAGUAUUUUUUUAAUACCACACAAACCGCCAAAUGCCGGCUACUAGUGUGCAACUCGCUAUUAAGGUUUCUGUCCUGUCCAACCUCAGGUUUCUGUCCUGUCCAACCUCAGGUUCCUGUCCUGUCCAACCUCAGGUUCCUGUCCUGUCCAACCUCAGGUUCCUGUCCUGUCCAACCUCAGGUUUGUGUCCUGUCCAAUCUCAGGUUCGUGUCCUGUCCAAUCUCAGGUUCGUGUCCUGUCCAACUUCAGGUUCGUGUCCUGUACAAUCUCAGGUUCGUGUCCUGUCCAACCUCAGGUUCGUGUCCUGUCCCAUCUCAGGUUCGUGUCCUGUCCCACCUCAGGUUCGUGUCCUGUCCAACCUCAGGUUCGUGUCCUGUCCAACCUCAGGUUCGUGUCCUGUCCAACCUCAGGUUUGUGUCCUGUCCAACCUCAGGUUCGUGUCCUGUCCAACCUCAGGUUCGUGUCCUGUCCAACCUCAGGUUUGUGUCCUGUCCAACCUCAGGUUCCUGUCCUGUCCAACCUCAGGUUCGUGUCCUGUCCAACCUCAGGUUUGUGUCCUGUCCAACCUCAGGUUUGUGUCCUGUCCAAUCUCAGGUUUGUGUUCUGUCCAAUCUCAGGUUCGUGUCCUGUCCAACCUCAGGUUCGUGUCUUCCUUGUCCUCAUCCCGUCCCUUCUUCUUUCCCACCUCAGGAGUGUUACCAGGUAUCGCACCCUCUCCUCCGGGCUUCAGAGGAAAAGAGAGAUAUUCUCCAUCAUUCACACCACACAGAAAGGAUGCUAUACUAGAAGACACAUAGACGUGGUCCUGUUUGACUCAGUUGGUAGAACGUGGUGCUUGCAACGCCAAGAUUGUGGGUUUGAUUCCCGGGGCAACCCAUACGUAAGUCUCUCUGGAUAGUGUCCUCUAUAUAUUAAGGAUGUGAACUAAGUGUAAAUGCGUGAGAUCAAUUUACCUGCCUGUAAUGAUUUUGCAUGAAACAAUCUUCUUUUUGAC
rnacentral:lncRNA from 1 species